UACGGGGGGGGUAAGCGUUGUUCGGAAUUACUGGGCGUAAAGGGCUCGUAGGCGGCGAACUAAGUCAUGCGUGAAAUCCCUCAGCUUAACUGGGGAACUGCGUGUGAUACUGGAUGGCUUGGAUUUGGGAGAGGGAUGCGGAAUUCCAGGUGUAGCGGUGAAAUGCGUAGAUAUCUGGAGGAACACCGGUGGCGAAGGCGGCAUCCUGGACCAAUAUUGACGCUGAGGAGCGAAAGCUAGGGGAGCAAACGGG
rnacentral:rRNA from 1 species